AAUAUUAUUAUUAUUCAUAGCAUAUGAGGUGUAGCUAUUAAAUAACGAGACAUGUUACGAAAAAGUGUUUUAUUAUAAAAGUUAUUCUACAUUUAAAUGAUCCCCUUCAAUAUACUCCUCUCCCCUUGCCACACACCGUUUCAUUCGUUUCUUCUAUUGCUCGAGGCAGUGCUGGAAGUCUGUUUUCGUAAGACCAUUCAGGAGUUUCGCCGAUUUUUGUUUUACCUCUUCUAUCGACUCAAACCGGAUUCCUUUUAAGGCAGACUUUAUCUUCGGAAACAAGUAAAAGUCGCAGGGUGCCAAGUCGGGUGAGUAAGACGCGUGUUCGAGUACUGGAGUGCCUUAAGCGGCCAAAUAACGCUUCACGCUUUAUCCUGGUGCAAGAUCCACGACUUGUUUUUCCACAAUAUCGACCGUUUCUUACGAACUCAUUCGCGCAAUGUUGCCAAAACUGUCAAAUAGUAAUGUUGGUUAACAGUUUGACCCUCUGGAANAGAAAAUAAUUUAUGCCACUCAAAAACGCGCCCGAGAUAGAAAAUCCUCACUAUAGGUCUCUUUUAACAACUUAUAGCAUUCAGUUGUAGUUUUUUUUAGUUUAACGAGAAAAUUUUACGUUUAUCCGUUGCUCAUGUUUUUCGUCACGAGAAAAAAACACGUUCGUUUCAAACCACUACUGCACAAAUACUAUAAUAGUGACGAUAACGUGUUUUGGUACGUGCAUAGAUAAGAUAUCUAGAUACCCAACGCAUUAUUCACUUUUUUCACUACUCAUCUAGAACGCCCUCUAGGCGAGCAGUCUCGUUAUUUAAUAGCCACACCUCGUAGUUGUUUUGAGGAUUUAUUUGCAAGGAUGUUUUUUUAGAUUACCAUGGUGGAAUAACACUAAACAGUUAC